GGGAGCCCAGGGUGGGUGGAUCACAAGGUCAGGAGUUUGAGACCAGCCUGGCCAACAUAGUGAAACCCCGUCUCUAACAUACAAAAAAUUAGCUGGGCGUGGUGGCGGUUGGUUGUAAUUCCAGCUGCUCUGGAGGCUGAAGGAGGAGAAUCGCUUGAACCCGGGAGGCGGAGGUUGCAGUGAGCCAGUGUCUCACCAUUGCACUCCAGCCUGGUAACAAGAGUGAAACUGUGUCUCACAAAAAAAAAAUAAA
rnacentral:lncRNA from 1 species